GUCCCCACUUCUUUUAACUCAGUGGCAGGACAUCUGCUUUGCAUGCAGAAGGUCCCAGGUUCAAUCCCCGGCAUCUCCA